rnacentral:rRNA from 1 species
AACGAACGCUGGCGGCAUGCCUAACACAUGCAAGUCGAACGAGACCUUCGGGUCUAGUGGCGCACGGGUGCGUAACGCGUGGGAACCUGCCCUUAGGUUCGGAAUAACUCCCCGAAAGGGGUGCUAAUACCGGAUAAUGUCUGCGGACCAAAGAUUUAUCGCCUUUGGAUGGGCCCGCGUUGGAUUAGCUAGUUGGUAGGGUAAAAGCCUACCAAGGCGACGAUCCAUAGCUGGUCUGAGAGGAUGAUCAGCCACACUGGGACUGGGACACGGCCCAGACUCCUACGGGAGGCAGCAGUGGGGAAUAUUGGACAAUGGGCGAAAGCCUGAUCCAGCAAUGCCGCGUGAGUGAUGAAGGCCUUAGGGUUGUAAAGCUCUUUUACCCGGGAUGAUAAUGACAGUACCGGGAGAAUAAGCACCGGCUAACUCCGUG